UGUAGCUUGACACCAGUAACAAGUAGUUUCCACAACACUGUUGACCAUGAACUACUGCAACACUGUUACAAUGGCUUUUGACGGGACUGUGGUGCAGUAGUUCAUGGUCAACAGGGUCAGCUGAGUUGUGGUGCUCAUGUGGGUGACACAUGUCCCAGCCCAGAUUCUGAUGUCCUGAUCUGACUCACCUGUCUUUCACCAGUAAUUUCCUGCUGGUCUCCACAAUAACUGUCCAAUAAAAUGAAAUGAAGGUCAUUAUGUGUAACAAGUUGCAUGUGAGAUUCUCUGCAUACAUUUUACUCUAUUUCCAUCCAUGUGUCCUUUCAAAGAUGACGUUGUUAUUUUAAUUAAUGGACAGAGAGAUGUAAAUGUGCUGUUGGAGAUCCUGAAAAAUUUUCAAAAAAUUUCUGCCACAAAAGUAAAUUGGUCCAAGAGUAAAGCAAUAUUGGUUGGAAGCUGGGUCAAUAGGGAACCAAAACUUCCAGAAGGUUUAUCCUGGACCAAGGAAGGCUUACAAUAUUUGGGAGUGUUUUUAGGGGAUGAGAUGUUUAUGAAAAAUAAUUUUGAAGGGAUUGUGGAGAAGUUUAAAGGUCGCCUUAAUAAAUGGAAAUUUUUGCUCCCCAAAAUGUCAUAUAAAGGUCGAGUAUUGAUCAUAAACAAUUUAAUUGCAUCUGCUCUAUGGCAUCGAUUUAAUUGUGUGGAUCCUCCACGAGAUUUACUGCCAAGAUUACAAUCUAUUUUAGUUGAUUUUUUUUGGGACAGGAUGCAUUGGGUGCCAAAAGCUGUUCUAUAUUUACCCAAAGAAGAAGGAGGACAUGGUUUAAUGCACAUACAGAGCAGAAAAGCAGCCUUUAGGCUUCAGUUUGCUCAAAGGUUGUUGACUGGACCAGUGGACUCAAACUGGAAAUAUGCUGCUUGUGUUAUUUUGCGAGAUUUCAGAGGUCUAAACUUUGAGAGAUCUUUGUUCUGGUUGAAUCCGCAAAAGAUGGACUUGUCUAAGUUGCCAAUUUUUUAUCAGAACUUAUUUAAAGUUUGGUCUUUGUUCAAGGUGCAGAGACCCAGCUCUAUGACUUCUCUGCAUUGGUUGCUACAAGAACCGCUGGUUUAUGGAUCGCGCUUGGACAUAUCAAAUGAAAAAAUACUCCCUGCAAUUUGUGAUCUUCUUCUUAAUGCUGGAGUUUUAACGCUUGGACAAUUAUUUAAACUGGCUGGACUGGACUUUGAGAAUGUUGAUGCAGUUGUCAGACAUUUGGGGUUAAAAUCGAAACGCAUAACAGCCAGAUUACUUGAAAAAUGGAAGUCAGCACUUACGUCAGAAGAAGUUAAACUGCUGGAAGAUUAUACUGAAGGGUCAGUUACUCCAGAUUGUAAUGACCCUUUUCCUGAUUUGUAUCUGUUGACUGAUUUUGAAGAAUGUGAAGGUGUUUUCUUACAAGACAAUUUGUUGAUGUUAGUGGGUCCUAAUCUAGUGUGUGGAAAAAUUUUGUACAAAAAUUGUGUCAAAAUUCUGAAUAAUAAGUUUUUGCAUAAAAGAGUUGAUACGCCUUGGCGUUCUGCCCUCCAUCUAGGGGAGGAUGUCAAGCCAGAAUGGCGAGCAUUAUACAAGUCACCUGUGUCAAAAAAAGUGGGUGACUUACAAUGGAGGAUCCUUCAUGGAGCGAUUGCUGUGAACGCAUUUGUUUCAGUCAUAAACCAUGAUAUUAGUGAUGAAUGCCCUUUUUGUUUUCAGAAGGAGAACAUUUUUCAUGCUUUUGUGUAUUGUAUUAGGCUUGUACCAUUGUUUCAGGUUUUAAAGAAUUUAUUUGGUUGUUUUGAUGAGAUUUUUUCUUUGGAAAUGUUUAUCUGUGGAUUUAAAUACAUCCGGAGACGUCGAUUUUGUUGCCAAUUACUGAACUUUUUAUUGGGUCAAGCGAAGAAGGCGAUAUAUGACACUAGAAAAAUAAGAAUUGAACGCAACUCAAGUGUUAAUUUGCAAAUUGUGUUUCUUAACCUAGUAAAAUCCAGAAUUUUAAUUGACUUUCGAUAUUAUAAGGCUAUGGGAGAUCUUAUGUCUUUUGAAUUGAUUUGGUGUUAUAAGGGGGUUCUGUGUGAAAUAAUUAAUGAGAGUUUACAGUUUGCAUAUGUAUUGAAAUGAGUUUUUUUAUGGAUAUUUAUUUGUAUAUUUGAUAUAUGGAAUGUGUGUGGUUUUUUUUGUACUCCUGUAGGUAGGAACUGAAUGUAUUAGUUUAGGUUAGUUGUAAUAAAGGUGUGUUAAAAUUCAAAUUCUCUCUCUCUCUCUCUCUCUCUCUCUCUCUAUCUCUCUCUGUGUGUACCCUCUGUACUCUGUUCCCUCCCUCUCCUUAUUUGCCCUCAUCUUCCUCACAGGCUGAGGUAUUUAUCAUCUUUAUUCGAGGAGUUUGAGAACUGUGGGUCGACUGCAGUGUUGGGAUGAUGAAUGGGGCAGUCAGUGAUGUGCAGCUACCUCAGGGGGCCAAACGAGACAGCUAUUU
ensembl:lncRNA